rnacentral:rRNA from 1 species
GACUCUCGGCAACGGAUAUCUCGGCUCUCGCAUCGAUGAAGAACGUAGCGAAAUGCGAUACCUGGUGUGAAUUGCAGAAUCCCGCGAACCAUCGAGUCUUUGAAUGCAAGUUGCGCCCGAGGCCACUCGGCCGAGGGCACGCCUGCCUGGGCGUCA